CCACUGCAUGUGGACCUAGCAUGUCAGUGGCUCUUCCCGCGCGAAUCUCUUGUUCCGGCGUAACGGACUUCGCAAUCGUCGGCCGCCACCGCUAUUCCCCUGCUUCCGUGUGCGUCGUGGCUUCGGCCCUUAUAUGACGGCACCAUGACCGCUCUGCCUUCGUGGCUAACUUGGAGCGGGUGAGAAAACGCCAAUGCCAUGAGUCGUGGGAGGGGAAGAACUCGCGCCACCACCGUCAUCUUGUUCGCAUCGCCGCUCGAGGCCUUUGACGGGGUCGGGGUGCAUCGCCGGUGCACCCUGAGCACGAGGGUGGAGGUUGAGGGCAUCGGAGUUGGAGGCUUCCCUGGAAUUGCUCGUCGGAGCUUUCACUGUCGUGCUGUGCCUUAGUCCACCGCGGGCCGAGCUACCGCGCGCGCCACCUUCGGAGAAGAACAAGUGGUCCAGGAGGAGGCCUACAACGAGGAGUACAAGCUUAUCUAGGUGGUGUCUCCCAGUCAUCUUGAUGGCGCCCAGGAAUAAUUAUUAGUUGGCUUUAUUUUUAUCAUUUAUUUUUGUAAGACUCUUCCACUAUGUAAUAAUAAUAUUUGUGACAUUUA